rnacentral:rRNA from 1 species
GAUGGACCUGCGGUGCAUUAGCUAGUUGGUGAGGUAACGGCCCACCAAGGCGACGAUGCAUAGCCGGCCUGAGAGGGCGGACGGCCACAUUGGGACUGAGACACGGCCCAAACUCCUACGGGAGACAGCAGUUAGGAAUAUUCGUCAAUGGGGGGAAACCCUGAACGAGCAAUGCCGCGUGAGUGAUGACGGUCCUCUGGAUUGUAAAACUCUGUUGUAUGGAAAGAACUGUAAGAAGAGGAAAUGCUUCUUACUUGACGGUACCAUUCAAGAAAGCCACGGCUAACUACGUGCCAGCAGCCGCGGUAAUACGUAGGUGGCGAGCGUUAUCCGGAUUUAUUGGGCGUAAAGCGUCCGCAGCCGGUUUAUUAAGUCUAGAAUAAAAGCCUGGAGCUCAACUCCAGUUCGUUCUAGAAACUGAUAUACUUGAGUGUAGUAGAGGCAAAUGGAAUUUCUAGUGUAGCGGUAAAAUGCGUAGAUAUUAGAAGGAACACCAGUGACGAAGGCGAUUUGCUAGGCUAUUACUGACGGUCAGGGACGAAAGCGUGGGGAGCAAAUAGGAUUAGAUACCCUAGUAGUCCACGCUGUAAACGAUGAGUACUAAGUGUCGGGUUACCGGUGCUGAAGUUAACACAUUAAGUACUCCGCCUGAGUAGUACGGUCGCAAGGCUGAAACUCAAAGGAAUUGACGGGCACCCGCACAAGCGGUGGAGCAUGCUGUUUAAUUCGACAAUACGCGAAGAACCUUACCUAGACUUGACAUCCCCGGCAAAGCUAUAGAAAUAUAGUGGAGGUUACCCGGGUGACAGAUGGUGCAUGGUUGUCGUCAGCUCGUGUCGUGAGAUGUUGGGUUAAGUCCCGCAACGAGCGCAACCCUUAUUGCCAGUUACUACGAAAGAGGACUCUGGCGAGACUGCCGUUGACAAAACGGAGGAAGGUGGGGAUGACGUCAAAUCAUCAUGCCCUUUAUGACCUGGGCUACACACGUACUACAAUGGCGUUUAACAAAGAGAAGCAAGACCGCGAGGUGGAGCAAAACUCAAAAACAACGUCUCAGUUCAGAUUGCAGGCUGCAACUCGCCUGCAUGAAGUCGGAAUUGCUAGUAAUCGCGGAUCAGCAUGCCGCGGUGAA